rnacentral:rRNA from 1 species
GGGACCUAAGGCGAGGCCGACAGGCGUAGUCGAUGGACAACGGGUUGAUAUUCCCGUACUGAUGAAGAACCGCCCAAGCUAAUCCAGUAAUGCUAAGUGUCUGAAUCCUUGCUGACGAACCCUUCGGGGUUAGCGGCGAGGCCUAGCACACGACCCUACGCUGGUGCGGUUAGCGUAUUAACAGGUGUGACGCAGGAAGGUAGCCGUACCGGGCGAUGGUUGUCCCGGUGUAAGGAUGUAGGCCGAGAGAUAGGCAAAUCCGUCUCUCAUAUAAGGCUGAGAUCUGAUGCAUAGCCCUCACGGGCGAAUUCGGUGAUCCUAUGCUGCCAAGAAAAGCAUCGACGCGAGGUUCAAGUCACCCGUACCCCAAACCGACUCAGGUGGUCAGGUAGAGAAUACCAAGGAGAUCGAGAGAAUCGUGGUUAAGGAACUCGGCAAAAUGCCCCCGAAACUUCGGGAGAAGGGGGGCCGGAUGUGUGAAGGGACUUGCUCCCGGAGCAUUGAAGGCCGCAGAGACCAGUGGGAAGCGACUGUUUACUAAAAACACAGGUCCGUGCUAAGUCGCAAGACGAUGUAUACGGACUGACGCCUGCCCGGUGCUGGAAGGUUAAGAGGAACGGUUAGCCGCAAGGCGAAGCUGAGAAUUUAAGCCCCAGUAAACGGCGGUGGUAACUAUAACCAUCCUAAGGUAGCGAAAUUCCUUGUCGGGUAAGUUCCGACCUGCACGAAUGGCGUAACGACUUCCCAGCUGUCUCAACCGCGAACUCGGCGAAAUUGCACUACGAGUAAAGAUGCUCGUUACGCGCAGAAGGACGGAAAGACCCCGUGACCUUUACUAUAGCUUUGUAUUGGUGUUUGGUGUGGCUUGUGUAGGAUAGGUGGGAGACUGUGAAGCUUGGACGCUAGUUCAGGUGGAGUCAUUGUUGAAAUACCACUCUGGUCACUCUGGAUAUCUAACUUCGGACCGUAAUCCGGUUCAGGGACAGUGCCUGGUGGGUAGUUUAACUGGGGCGGUUGCCUCCCAAAAAGUAACGGAGGCGCCCAAAGGUUCCCUCAACCUGGUUGGCAAUCAGGUGUCGAGUGUAAGUGCACAAGGGAGCUUGACUGUGAGACUGACAGGUCGAGCAGGGACGAAAGUCGGGACUAGUGAUCCGGCAGUGGCUUGUGGAAGCGCUGUCGCUCAACGGAUAAAAGGUACCUCGGGGAUAACAGGCUGAUCUUGCCCAAGAGUCCAUAUCGACGGCAUGGUUUGGCACCUCGAUGUCGGCUCGUCGCAUCCUGGGGCUGGAGUAGGUCCCAAGGGUUGGGCUGUUCGCCCAUUAAAGCGGUACGCGAGCUGGGUUUAGAACGUCGUGAGACAGUUCGGUCCCUAUCUUCCGUGGGCGCAGGAGAGUUGAGGAGAGCUGACCCUAGUACGAGAGGACCGGGUUGGACGUACCACUGGUGUACCAGUUGUUCUGCCAAGAGCAUCGCUGGGUAGCUACGUACGGAUGAGAUAACCGCUGAAAGCAUCUAAGCGGGAAGCCAACUCCAAGAUGAACUCUCCCUGAAGUUCCCUUGAAGACUACAAGGUUAAUAGGCUAGAUGUGUAAGAGAAGUAAUUCUUUCAGCUGACUAGUACUAAUAGAACGUUCGUCUUUAUCUA